rnacentral:rRNA from 1 species
UACGAAGGGGGCUAGCGUUGCUCGGAAUGACUGGGCGUAAAGGGCGCGUAGGCGGCUUGCACCGUCAGAUGUGAAAGCCCCGGGCUUAACCUGGGAAUUGCGCUUAAGACUGGACUGCUUGAGUGCGGGAGAGGUGAGUGGAAUUCCCAGUGUAGAGGUGAAAUUCGUAGAUAUUGGGAAGAACACCAGUGGCGAAGGCGGCUCACUGGCCCGCAACUGACGCUGAGGCGCGAAAGCGUGGGGAGCAAACAGG